GACGAACGCUGGCGGCGUGCUUAACACAUGCAAGUCGAACGGAAAGGCCUCUUUCGGGGGGUACUCGAGUGGCGAACGGGUGAGUAACACGUGAGUAACUUGCCCUUGACUUUGGGAUAACUUCAGGAAACUGGGGCUAAUACCGGAUAGGAGCUCCUGCUGCAUGGUGGGGGUUGGAAAGUUUCGGCGGUUGGGGAUGGACUCGCGGCUUAUCAGCUUGUUGGUGGGGUAGUGGCUUACCAAGGCUUUGACGGGUAGCCGGCCUGAGAGGGUGACCGGCCACCUUGGGACUGAGAUACGGCCCAGACUCCGACGGGAGGCAGAAGUGGGGAAUAUUGCACAAGGGGUGGAAGCCUGAUGCAGCAACGCCGUGUGCGGGAUGACGGCCUUCGGGUUGUAAACCGCUUUCGCUCAUGACGAAGCUUUGUGUGACGGUAGUGGGUAAAGAAGCACCGGCUAACUACGUG
rnacentral:rRNA from 1 species